rnacentral:rRNA from 1 species
CAGUCGCCGCGGGAAUACGAACCGUGCGAACGUUAUUCGGAAUCACUGGGCUUAAAGCGCGUGUAGGCGGGCCGCCGCGUCGGCUGCUGAAAUCCCCCGGCUCAACCGGGGAACGGGCACCGAUACGGGCGGCCUCGAGGGGGGUAGGGGGGCCUGAAACUUCCGGUGGAGCGGUGAAAUGCGUUGAGAUCGGAAGGAACGCCCAUGGCGAAAGCGAGGCCCUGGACCCUUUCUGACGCUGAGACGCGAAAGCCAGGGGAGCGAACGGGAUUAGAUACCCCAGUAGUCCCUGUCUCUUAUA